CCUCCUGCCUCCGUUCCCUGGCACCGGGAUUACAAAUGGGAAUGGCCGCAGAUCUACCAUCCUGCCUUCUGGAGCACCUGAUUUUUAUCAAUUCCACAAAUAAAAUCCUGCAAAGGACUAUUUUAUAACACCACUAACUAGGAUAGCAAACAUUAGGACAGAAACUUAACCACACCAAGGACAACAACAAAGCUGUGUCACCCAUUCAGGCAGAAGGAGCCAGAAGCCAUCUUUGAAAAGCACAAGCAAACCCAGGAGGAAGAUGGUGAUAUUCUAAUCUCUCAACCUAGGAACUUUAGCCAUCCUAAGACGACACAUCAAUUUGCUCUAAUUG